GGAUCUCCCCGUAAUCUCUCCCAUCGCCUGCUGGCAACAGGGAUCCUGCUCUCGGACCAACAACCCACUUUCCAGCUACCCUUUUGCUGUGACCCGUACUGGAACUCGAAUGCAGGACUUUGAGCAUGCUAGGUAUGCUCUCCUCCAGAGUGUCAUCUCCAGCCCUACAUUGCUGCUAAAUGAUGAAAUGUACUACAUAUCCAAUGCAGUCCACUGGCAUGUCUCACGAGGGUUAGUGACAACUUUCAAAUGAACAUAGACCAAUGCAGAGCUAGGAUGAAGAUUUUCUGGCAUGGAUCAGACUCCAGGCACUGCACAUACAGGGCACGGUUGUGCAUGAUGCAUGCAAUCCCAGCACUGGGGAUGUAGAGGCAGGAGAAUCAGAUGUUCAAGGUCAUUAACAGCUACAGAGGACUUCGAGGCCACCCUGAACUACAUGAGAUCCUUUCUCAAAGUAAAACAAAGAGAAAAUAAGAUAAUGACAGAAGAGUCCAGGAAGACAGACACACUCCUCAAUGUUUCUACCAACAAUGAAACAUUUUCCCUUAUAUCCACAGAUGAGUGUGUUUCUUACCUCUCAUCAAGGUAAAACUUUUUGCAAUAGAUGGAGACCAUCAAAGAAAACUGCAGUCAAUCAAGAUGCGGACUUGUGGAGCUCAGUACCAAAGGAUAUGUCUACAAAACACUCCCACCUCUGAGCUCCUGAAGGACUAUGGGACAUCGUCAUGUUAGGGAAUUAACUUCCGUUCUCCCUCACAUUCUACAAGCUUUCUAAUUUCUGCCAUUUCUCUUUGCUAGUAAUUUUUUUAGAUCACCCAUGGAAACCACCCUCUCUCGUUUAAUAGCCUUUGAAUUAUUAACACUUAGCUAGUCCUGUGUCAUCUGGAAGGUGACCAUGGUCAGUAGAUAUCAGUGAGAGUCAAGGUAUCUAUUUGGAGAGAACUUUGGGUGGAGGCUUCGUAUUCCCUUUCAUGGAUUAAGUCCCUCCUUGGUUGGCUUUAUAAGUGUAGCAUUCACUUAAGGCAGACUUGCAGCCGUCUUUCCAUUUCAGGUAUGAUGUCAUUGCCAGGGUCUGUGAUGACUGACUCUCGGUGGCCUUUCACUGCAGCACAUUGCCUCACACACUAAGAAGCCACAGUUGCCCUUCAAGCCUGAUUCAAUGGCGUAUAAUGGUAUCAAACUCUGGCCUGUUGCCCUUUGGACUCAGAACUUAAGUUGUGGCCAAAAUCUUAGCUCCAAAGAUGGAGACGGGAUCAGGUACCACAUGGUCCUGAGCGUAGGAGCCAGUCUGGAUGUGUCCUGUCACUUGAUAGCAGACAGACACUCCUCAUGAGCUACUCAGGACUCCAGGCGCCAGGAAGUAAGUUGAGGUCAGGGAGUUUGUUUUAUCUACUGAUUUGGAAAAAUAUUUAGCCUCCCUGGAACAGGGAUGUACAUUCCGUGAGUCUGAAGCCAUGAAAUUUGGCAAGUCCCGUAUCAGAUGCCUAAUACUGUUAUACAACGCAGUCUAAUUUAGAUGGUAAGACUGCCAGAGGGACCUGAGUGUCCCCCUAGGGCCAAAAGUCCCCUCUGACACUUCUUUAAGCCCAACAAUCAAUUACAAUUAAUCAUAAUCAUGAGAGUGGCACCCACUGUCCAGAAUUGGCCUACAGGUCAAUACACACAGCUUUGCAUAAUUAGACAUUAGUAUUUAGCCCAGGGAACAUGGUGAUGACUUGUGCAAUGAUCUGGCCGCUCUACAAAUAAUAACAAAGGUGUCUAACUGAGACUCUGAAUGGCAGUGAAUACCCCCUGAGCUAUGCCUCUCUCCUGCUGGCCCUGCCUAUUAGAAAAUAAAA